UGUUCCAAACUCUCUACUCCCGGAAACCAGAGUAGAACUACAUACCUCGUAUUUUAGUUGGCAAUAACUACAAGCUGUUGUUAGUGUUGAUCCGUGUCAUUGUAGAUAAUUGUGGCACAGUAUUUAAGGCAUGAAAAAAGGAGAAGAUAUGACAACAUCCAAAAGGACACGAAGACUUUCAGUUCCGGAGUCAGCACCAGAUGAAAAGUGGAAGUAGAGAAACGGAAGCCCUGGCCAAGGAGCUCGUACCUACGUGCCCAUGUGAGUGGUCAGUUAGAUGCCUGGCCUCGGUUACAUAAGCAGAGGAAAUCUCUGCAUAUAAAAAUAGGCAGCUCAACGUAACCAGCAUUCAUUGAGCACCUUAUGUAGGUGCAAAGGCCGUCUGCUCAAGGAGAGAAACUGGACAACACAACAGCUGCUCUCACAGGAUUCUUAUUCCAUUAAGAGGAAAGAGGCAUGUAAGCAAAUAAUUACAAUACUGUGUGAUAAAACACAACAAUAAAAAGAUAUACGGGGACAGGAUUUUAACUCUGUUAGAGGAUGGUAAAGAGAAGGCAGUGGAGAGAGUUCAAAAGGAAGGUGACAUCUGAUUAGAAGCUUUUCUUGAUUGGAGGGGGGCUGAGGGAGUGCCCAGAACAUUCUGGGCAGAUGGAAAGCAAGGAGGGGUGUGUAAGUGCGGCUGAAGUGCAGGUAGGGAGUAACCUGGAGAGCCUGAACUAAGUGCUGGUGAUAGGAUGACAGGGGGCACAUUUGCAAUACUUUGGAGGUAAAACUGAACACCCCAGUCAUUUGUUUAAUUAGUAUCUUCCCAAAAUGCUACCAAAGAGGAGACUUUUUGAUGGUUCAUCAGGAUGAUUUUUCGUUGGUAUUGUCUUUUCAGUAGAUAACACGA